GUGGAUUAAGGCAUUGGAUUGUGAAUCCAUCAUGCGCGGGUUCAAUUCCCGUCGUUCGCC
rnacentral:tRNA from 1 species